CUGUUCGGUGAAGGGAGGGGGGGAAUAAAACCCAACAUGAAAAAGCUACUCAGGCUGUGAUUGCCCGUGAGUCAGACAUUUAUUGAUUCAUAGGAGUGCUGAAGCCAUCACGGACCACAAGAGUUCAUCACCUUUGAAAACAUAGACUCCUGUGGUUUGGUUUUUUUGUUUGUUUGUUUGUUUUUUUGUAUAGAGGAGUGUGCAGCCCAGCACUUAGAAAUGGGAAAGCUUUUUACAUUUCAGCACCGCAGGUGUAAUGUAGAACGCUUCCUUGCAUGAGGGGGUAAAAGAGGCUGUUGCUGCCUAAAGUGAGUCCUUCCUGGCAGUUUUCAAUAGGAAAAUCAGAUCAUGUAACAGGUGAAGGAAGAGCAAAGAUAACAUUUAUUGAUUUUUAUCCUUAAUUUGCUUUUGAUAUCAUUAAUUUUGGUCUAGAACUCUGUUCCUGAUUGGCUGCCACCUUUGCGUGUGUUUUGAGUACCCAAGGCUUACUAAUUUUUCAGUCAGGCUGUGGGGCUUUUGCGGCCAGAUCAGGCAAAUACUUUGCUGAUCUCAACUCACUAUUGGAUUUAAGUGUGCACAAAAUAUUUUCUGGGCUUAACUUUUUUUCUGACAGCUUUCAUGACAGAUAAAGUACCAUCAGAGCAGGGGGUUGUUUGAUAUUCCAUGGAUUUUUUUGGCAGCUGCCUUCCUUGUCUUUGCCCACAGGGCAAGUCCUUCAGUAUUAUUGAUCUCUUUCAAACAUGAGCUUUCUCUUUGGCUUUGGAGGUUUAUUGCCAUGGGCUCCUCUACAAGUUUUCUCCAAAAGCCUGGCUUUGAACUGGAUUUUGCUUUGAAUCAGACCUCAUCUAGCACUACACCUCAGACAGGGCUGUAAUUUUGCUGGCCAAAUUCCGUUAGACCUUUUCCAUUGGCACACCAGCACAGAAAGAUCACAGUCAGUUAGGCCUCCCACAGCAGAUAUGCGUAUAAUUUGUCUCUUGUUUUUGAGGCCAGUUUGCAGUCUGCAAGAAUGAGCAGUGUCACCACGCAGGGAGAGGAAGAUCCCUAAGGAAAGCAGCUGAGCGCCUGAUAGCCGUAGUGCACAGUGCAUGGUGGGGCAGAGCAGGUUGCUGGUUCUCUGCAUGACAAGUCAGUACAUGGAGGCUGCCUUUCACGUUUGUUUGGUUUGGUUUGGUUUGGUUUGGUUUGGUUGUUUUUUCCCUUCAGUGUGACAGAUAAAUGCCAGAGAGUUUACCAACAGAGGAAACAUAUUUCCAGCUGUGCUGCGUGAUGAGCCUUGCUGGAAACCAUUGCUGCAGAGCAAUGGUUUUCACAGCACUAGGUUCCUGUAACCAAAUGGCAAUGAUUUAAAAAAAACCUAACCUGAAUCAAUCAAGAAGACACAUGCAUGAAACAAUUCAUGGCAUAGACUUCUGGCUGGAUUAGGUUAUGAUUAAAAAGCAUUCACUGCAAUAAAGGCUGCAGGUUUGGACUUCAGCAAGCAGCUUGGGGGAGAGGCAGAGUCCUGUUUUGUGCACAGAGCAUAUUUGCUGUUCUUCCUCAAACUCUUCUCCAACAUUUAUUUUUUUUAGUGUCCUUGUACUCACAUAUUGUUACUUAGACUUGGUCUUCAGGGCAACUAUGUUUACGAAGAGUCAUCUGCAUUUACAGAAGAUAUGAAAAAGCUUGUAUCUCCCAGGCAUGCAUAUUUUUUUCAUUGAAAGCUAGACUAUCGCUAGGGCGGUUUGUUUCUACUUCUUUAUGGUUGGGGAAGAAAGUGGUGUGCUUGCACAUAUAAAUUUUUGUGACAGUUUUACAAGUCUGCAUUUACAACGAUAUCUAAGCAGUAAAUAAUCAUUCUCUUAACAGAAGAAACACAGUUGUUAUCCUAUAUUGUAGUGUGCUAAUGCUCAUUUGCUUCUGGAUAUUCAUUUUGCAUAAACUGGAGCCACAUCCUUUUUUUUUUUUUUUUUUUUUUUUUUUUUUUUUUUUUUUUUUUUCCCAUACACAAUCUUCAGUGUGAGAGGAAGCUCAGCCUCUGCAUGCUGAGCUGGUACACGUGUAAUCCCCGAGUGGCGCAGGGAGGACAGAGUAGUAGCUCUGAAUGAGCCUCCAAGCUUUCCUGCGGGAGGUAACCCUGCUUUCCCUACCCUGCCCCUGCUCCAUGCCCAGGCAAACGGGAAGAGCAAGUGCCUGCUCCUGUUCAGGCUUCUGUGGGGCUGGUGCUGCCUGGCCUCAGCAGCAGCUCAAUGGAAGGGGAAGUGCUCUUCUGUCUGCACGCUGGAGGGGAGAGACCUGGCAGCCUGGCUUUUUUGUUUUAUGGAGUACUGCCCAUGUCCUAGAAGAAAAUAACUUGUGAUCCCAGCAGGUCUCCUAUGGCUGCACAAAAAGUGAUACAUUUGGGAUAUGGAGUCUUGCUGAACUAUCUCCUUCCCAUCCCACGAUAGGCAGCAGGAAUUGAGAUGCUCCCCAGUAGGAAGGGCCAGAGGGGUGAGCAGGAGGCACAGCCAGCUCUGUGCCCAGAGUUUCCAAAUGCAGGGCACGAGGCAGAUUUGAACUGGAAGGAGGCAAGGCAAAAGACCAGUUGCUUCCCCAGGGGAGUUUUUGGGAUGGAUGGAUUGUUUGAGGAGGGUAGCCUUGGCGGACAGAAUCUGACUUGCCUUUACAAAUUUGAGGGGAAAGUAGUUAUCCUGAGAGGCAGCAAAAACAAAGAAAAAGACUAAGAAAACUAUGAAGGUGGCAGCUAGUGGACUGACAUACACAAGGAAAACAGGCCUCUGGGGACAGUGGGCAUCUGGGUAUGCUCUGGGACAGAAAACAGACAUAGCAGAGAACAAAGACCACACAGCAGCAAGAGAUUUACAGCCCAAACAAGGGAAGAGUGCAGAGAAGGAAGAGCGAGAGGAGAAAGCAAGGUGAUGGUGUGAGAAAGGUGUUAGGGGACCUCCUUGGACAGAGCAGCCUGUUGAGCAGGGCUGCAGGUAGAUGCCCCCUCAGAUUUUCAAAGGCAGCACUGUAGCCCCAUUGACUGAAGUCAUGCUAGUGAUCCAUCACUUGACAGUCAGUGGUGUUGGAUGACUAAAUGACUAUAAAAUUCAGUCUUUAGAAAUUGCUAAGAUAUGUGGGACCUUUUAUUUCUUAAUUUUACAUUAUCGUAAAUAUGUUUGAUUAAUUUAUAUCUUGAGAAACCUUUGGAAUAUCUAUGUGCUUCUGACAUUUAAAAAUUAUUUUUAGCUUUUUGUUCUCCUAAACGAUCCUGAGGCUCUGUUUGGACUUGAUAAGCAUAUCUGCAUGAUUUACGAUGGGAAGAAAGAUGAUUUCCCUCCUCAGUAGCUGUACAGAUGCAGGGGAAGAACAUAAAUGAGGAAUUAAUGUUAGGAAGGAAAUGAUAGCUCAUAUGUGGGGUUCAGAAGGAAAUGAUGAAGUGCUUGUGGUCCCUGUCUUUGGGUUAGCCUCAUUAAUUAUAGAAAUGUCACUAGAUCAGGCUUUAAUGCCAUGGUUGUGAAAGGGAAUGUCGCUAGUCUGAAGCAGUCAACAAACCCCAUCCUUUGAUUUGUGCUGCUUAAUAUUCAGUGGAGAUGAAAUGUGGGGAUGAGGGAGGAGUGCUGUUAAAAUAAAUUUUUACCAGUGUUAGAUUUAUUGUGUAUAAUUUUAAAGAUGACCUUUUAAACAAAGUCCAUGUUCAGUUUAAUUUGAAAGACCUGAAGAACUGGAAGAUUUGUGACUGUAUAACGAUAGACGCAAUAUGAGAUAAACAAGGGCACUAUACUAAAAUGGCCUCACUAAAUGAUACCUCAGACUAAAAAGAUCUUAAGAUAAGGUUUCUAGAUAGCAAAAGCAAUGUAAGGAAGUUAAGAGAGGAAGAGGUGUGCCUCCAUCAGCUGUUCAGGUCUGAGAGGUAAAGAAAAAUCAAAUGCUUACUACUUUCUCUGAUUCAGUGCUUGUAAUAAUACUGUUUUGUUUCAGCACAGCUGGCACUGAUGGCUUGAUUUCUCCUAAUGUUAGCCACUUCUCAAUUCUUUCUUUGAGAUGUACUACUUUUUAAGUUCAUGGUUUGGUUUUUUUGUGCCAGUUAAUAUCAUUAUCCCAUAGUUUCUGGGCUCAUCCAACAAAAAGUAAUAAGAAAAGUAACUUUGAUAAACAAUGGGCCAGAGAAUGCUUCCUCUAAAUCUUGCUCUGGUAAAUGGCAGCUGACCAUACAGGCCUCGUCCCCACCUUUGCAGUUGCCACCUGAAGAUUUUUGUGUAUGAUAAGAAAAAAAUUACUCAAUUCUUUGUAAUAACAUCACUACUAUGUCAGUAAAUGCUAAUUACAACCUCAGAUUAAAAAGAAAAAAAGCUAAAUUAAAAUUGAAAAUAUUCUUAACCUUAAGAUGAUUUUUUUUUCCCCCCUGAGGACAAAGUUUGAUUAAAAAUGAGGUGAUAGCUUUCUUUUUCUAGCAGAAGAGUAUUUUAUGUCAGCAGAAACAUUUUCAGGUGCUUUGUGUACAUUUAGACAUUAAAAAAUGGCUUUCAAAAAUAUGCAAUGGUUGCAUGUAUUAUACAUAAGACUCAAUCAUAUAGUGGAUACAGAAGUAGCAGCAAAAAGUGCAAGCAAAGCAUCUUUUUAGGUAUAUUGAACAUGGCCCCUGUCUGCUUCAAGCCAAGAUGACAGAGCAACCAAUUUGUUCAAUAACCAUGAGCAAGCAGUUCAUCGGUGCAUGGCUAUAGUGUCAAAACGUUAAUUAAAAGCCCCACUUCUAGUACAAGAUCUUGUUUUACUUUGUUUUGGCAAACCUGCACUUCCUUCAGUUUGUAAAGUGUACCGCAUGCCUCUUUUUGGUAUUUUAUAAGUACAAUAAACUAAAACUGUAUUUUC